UGCUUCAGCCCUCCUCUUCAAUAAGGAAAAGAAACGUUUACGUGCCUUGUUAAUCUGUGUCACCCAUGUAUUUAACAGCUCAAUAACAAAUAUUGCCUAUAUGUACUUUUAUUUAUUGCUAAUAUAUCAUCGGGCUCGCUGUUGUUUAUCAAGUAAUCAUGUCCCCUCCUUCCUUCAUUGUGCAAGGCUAUGGCAGCCAUCAAAUUAACCAUUUGACUUAAAAACACUAGAAAUUCCAAGCCUCUCUCAGAAAUUAUUUCUCAUCUGCGCUGUAGCGGCAGAAAUAUGCCUAGAGCAGGAAAUACCUCAAAAUGAGACCCCACUUGCAGUACUGUGUGCAGUUCUGGUGUCCUCAACAUAAAAAGGACAUGGAACUGUUGGAACAAGUCCAGAUGAGGCCACGAGGAUGAUCAGGGGACUGGAGCACCUCCUGUAUGAAGACAGCCUGAGGAAGUUGGGGCUGUUCAGCCUGGAGAAGAGAAGGCUGCGUGGAGACCUCAGAGCAGCCUUCCAGUAUCUGAAGAGGGCCUAAAAGGAUGCUGGAGAGGGACUCUUCAUUAGGGACUGUAGUGAUAGAACAAGAGGUAACAGGUUCAAACUUAAACAGGGGAAGUUUAGAUUGGAUAUAAGGAAGUUCUUUCCUGUUAUAGUGGUGAGGCACUGGAAUGGGUUGCCCAGGGAAGUUGUGAAUGCUCCAUCCCUGUCGGUGUUCAAGGCCAGGUUGGACAGAGCCUUGGGUGACAUGGUUUAGUGUGAGGUGUCCCUGCCCAUAGCAGGGGUUUUGGAACUGGAUGAUCUUAAGGUCCUUUCCAACCCAAACCAUUCUGUGAUUCUAUGAUUCUAUGAAGAUAGAGAUGUUUCCAAGAGAUGUGACCCUACCCAAAAUAAAUGGUGUAACAGAAGCAGGAAGGGGGAGCUGUGCAGCGUAGGACAGCAAGAUGAGAUAGUUAGUCAUCCCCAGUUUGCAGAUUUCUUGAACAUCCUUCAGAGCAGGAAUGGUGUCCAGGAGGAGAGCAAAUGGUUGAGAUCCCAGAGAUUUACUUGGGGUGAUUUUUUGGUUAUUUUAAAGCUAGUCUCUAAUCAAAGCUGUUUGGUCAUUCUACAGUCAAGACAGGGUAAAUCCACCAGCUUAAGAGAGGUUGGAUGAACCACAUUGUGAGGAAACAUGUCUCCAGUGGUUGUAGAGUGGUGAAACCUGAGCAGAGUCCCAUGUGUCUUUCUUGACUGGAGGCCUAGUUUAUAACUUGCUAAUGUUAGGCUUGAUGAAUCCUACCUCUAUUUCGUAUUCUUGGCUCUGCCUACAACUUGGUAGAGGAUCAUAUGACUGUUCCAUGUAACAUCUAUUACACAACAGUGCAGGAGAGGAAAGUGCCUUGUUUCAUCAAGGAGCAAAGUAGGAGUGGUAUCUACUACAUAUACUUAAAGGCAGGCAUGUAGUGAUUUCCAUUGUGGGAAUAUCAGGCUGGAGUGCUUUGAGAUUCAUCAGUGUGGGAUGCUGGAUAACUUCAAUGUAUUACUCUUACAGCAUUAUAUGUAUACUAACUCACCCUGCCUGACCUAAAGCACUCCUUGCUAAGUAGGACAUCACCUUGAGGAAGAUCUUACAGUUCCAGGGCUUUGUCAGCUCCACAGUGUUAUUUUCUUUAUUUCUUGAUUGACUUUCAGCACCUUGUAAUAUCGGGUCUAGUCUUACAUUAAAAAUGUGCUCUGUUGACAUUUUUUUACCACAGGUGUGCCUGAAAGAGUUUUUGUGUCCUUUUGAUCGUCAUUUGUAUGUUGGUUUUUUUUCCUUUCCUCGUUCUUCAACAUUACCUGCUGCUCACCCCAGCACUGUCUUUAUUCUGGGAGAGGAACUGUGUGUUGACACAUUCUGUCCUGAAGGUGGGGAAAUUCGCAGUGUACGAUUCCAAGUACACAGCCCAUUACUGUGUGUUACAGAGAACUUUCCUCCUCUGCGCUGUGAAAACUUGUUCUACCAGUUUAAAAAUGUCAGAUGGGGAAACUGAGUCAUGGAGAGAAAAGUUCACCACUUAAGGAGGAUGGAAAGGGUGAUACUGUGAUCCUGGUGGGCUGAACUCUGGCUGGGACACCUUUCCUCUGGAUUGCUACCUAUUCCUGAAAAUCUGAGGCAUGAAGGCAUAACUGUCACACUCUGCUCACCUCUUCUAUCCGGCUUGCUGAUCCAGGAUACUGGAAGGUCUUUUGGAAUCCCUUGUUCUCUCCAGGACCUCUUACCUAUCUACACAAACUCAUUUGGAUCUAUAAAUAAAAUUCCCUAGGGAAGCCAGACUAGCCAGGCUUUCGCAAACUGUGCUCCGCUGAAUGGUCCAGGUCCCAAAACACAUCUGUAUAUCUUACAGGUGUAUUUCUUAAAGCAGAACAGGGUCUCCUCUUGCUUCCAAGAUCUUCCUAGGGACUGGUACCAAGCCACCUAUCUUGAAAACUGGAUUGCAACUGGUCCUCCAACGUAAUCAGUGAGGAUGCAAAGACUCUUGGGGCUUCAAGGAAAGGGAGAAGAGACUUUAGACCCACGACUUGCAUGACUUCAAAAGCACUUUCUCACACAUGCUGUUCAGAGAGCAGCCUCAUUAAACCAUUCCCUGAGGGAUAAUGAGGAGAAAACCAAGGAACUGGCCAAUCACAUUAACCAGGAAUUGCUUCAAGAUGCGAUCUGAUAUUGCCCUCUGCUGACAGUUUGCUACAUAGUGCCAUCGGUUUAAAAUGAAGUAUGUUGUGUAGUAACGCAACAAGGAUUUCUGAAGAUCUGUAGUAAAUCUCCAUCAGACAGAGAUUUUCGGGGUUUAUUGCUUGAUUUUUUUAGUGUCCUUUCUCAAUGUUGUAACUUAUAUGCUACAUAUCAAGCAUUCCACAUCAGAGAUGAACCCAGUCUAAGCUGUUGUGCAAGGCACUGAGUGUACACAUAGCGAGAGCCAGUUUUCCCCUGGGGGGUCCUGUGGUCUACAGACACAAGACAGAUAAAGGACAGUGAAAAAAAGGCAGCAAUCAGCUCCAUUUCACAUAUAGGCCACUGAGCUACUGAAGGAUCUAGCUGAACCCACAAAAGGCAGCUCUAUUGCCCUGCCUGGAAGCUGUAGUCAGAUGAAUUCAAACCAAAAAUAAGCUGCAAGUUCUGACUGCAAGAGAAAUGGAUCACACUGUUGGCACCUUCUUCUCCUUCUUCUUUUUCUUCACAAGAAGCAUCACUCUGUGUCUACACUGAGACUGAUUUGGGGCCAGGAAGUGGAGAAGAGCAGAGCAGAUUUGAAGACAACACAAACAUUUGUCAUACCCAUGAAUAAGACUGAAAGACCACGAGCCUAGAGAAGCAGUGUCCUCAAAGAUCUGAACUCAAGUUGUCCAGAGCUCCAUACUUCCUCAGCUUCCAUGGAUUUGAACUGUGAAGGAGCUUGGUCUUUUACAGGGAAAGCCAAGGAUAAGUUUCAGUGGAUCUUGAGAAGCAGACAACAGAAGAGUAACAGUAUGUGCACAUGUGCAGGCAAACAAGUACAAAGUACCCUUGUGGCUGCAAAAACUCAAAGUCAAUACCUUCUCUGACACACACACACUCCCCAGCCUGGUACUUCUGACUGUGUAUUUGAAAAGCUUUCGGACAUGUGAUAUUCUCAAUCGUCCCCAGCUUGUAUGUGGCAAGUUCUUAGUUCUCAGAUACUGCAUUAUAUAGUAUGGCAAACACAGCUGUAUGCAUGGGGAAACAGAGGGGGAGCAGCUGAGAAGAUCUGCUCAAGAUUAACUGUCAUAGAGGAGAUGUAGAAGCUGAGGUUCCUGAAAACCAGUCCAGUGUGCUCUGGGCCCCUGUCCACAAUGCUGCAGGCAUGUCAUUUGGGUGGGAUCCAUUCCACUGAAGUACUGAAAUCCAGGAAAACACAAUCCCAUUUUGGAAACCCUCAGAAGUACCUUUCUUUGUCUAUUGACCACCACAAAAGCAAAAGUUAAUUGUUCUACUGCACUAGAGCCUCAAUUAAAUUCUCUAUUUCUGUUGCCUAUAAGUGCCAUUAUUUAACAGUAAGGCCUUCUUCCUCCACAGUCAUAAUAGUGAGCUGUGAUUUAUGAGGAACUUAAAUUCCUUUAGGAUAUUCAGGUAGAGAGUUUAAAGCACUCACUCCUACCAUGAACAUCAGAAAAGGGAUCACUUCAAAUGCCAUUUCAUAUCUUACAUUUAGUUUCUUCCAGAACUUGCUUUGCCAAUUUCACAGAAGCAUUUGGGUUGGCAGUGACCUCUUAAGAUCAUCAAGUCCAACCCUUCAACUCA